UGUAAGCGUAUACCAAAGUUGUUGCAGUUAAAACGCUCGUAGUCGGAAUUUGGCAGUUCCGGAAGUGUGCACGUCGUGUGCGCACUUUGCGGGGACUGCUUUUGUGGUCUUGCGUAGGAUGAGGCACUUUCAUUAGUGAACGCCCUCACGCAACCACUCUUUACUGUGAGAAAAUCAGAGUGCUCAAAGCAGGCAUUUGCCGUGAAUGUAUUAGCAUGGAAUAAUAGAAUAGGACUCGGUUCUAUUUUGUUGGUUUGUUGGGACUGAGUAAUGAUUAAGAGGGACAGUUGGGGGCAUUUGUAUUCCGGCGCUAGAGGUGAAAUUCUUAGAUUGCCGGAAGACAAACUGCUGCGAAAGCGUCUGCCAAGGAUGUUUUCAUUGA
rnacentral:rRNA from 1 species